rnacentral:lncRNA from 10 species
UAAUGGCGUAAGCUGUCUCCUCUCUCCGCCUCAGCUGCCAAACAGGGAAGGGCCCCCUGUCCAGUGGACACGUGACCCACGUGACCUUACCUAUCAUUGGAGAUGGCUCACACUCCUUACCCUACCCCUAUGUCUUGUAUCCAAUAAAUAUCAGUGCAGCCUGGCAUUCAGGGCCACUACCGGACUCCACGUCUUGGUGGUAGUGGUCCCCCAGGCCCAGCUGUCUCCAAUUUUAUCUCUUUGUCUUGUGUCUUUAUUUCUACAGUCUCUCAUCUCUGCACACAGGGAGAAAAGCCCGCUGACCCUGUGAGGCUGGUCCCUACAUCUGGCGCUCCGACAUGGGGCUCUCCCUCGCUGUGUGAAGUUGCACCUUGAGUGCGGGACUCAGCAGAGGAUUUCGACGACAGAUUCCUGAGGAUUGCGGUCAAUAAGCUUGGUGGAAAAGGACUACAGCCCAUGUGGGUCUCCCCCACCGACAACUGAAAUUGCACCAUAACUCCAAAGAUGAAACGUUCCCAGAAACAAAAGGCAAAGACCCCUCAAAAACCGAGGAGGAAAUUUCGCCUCCUGACACAUAAACUUCAUGACCUCGACAUUGAGACAAAAUCUCGCUGUGUGACCUACAACACCACUCGUUCAACUCCACCAACAUGGGGUCAAAUAAAGGUCUUAUCCCAUCACACAGAAAAUUUAUUAAAAGAAAAAGGAAUCCCAAAAACGACCAGUAAUAUAAUUCUGGCUGUCUUUAUGGUAGUCAGUGCAGCAUCUGCAGAUGCCUCCAAGGAGUCCGGAAACAAGUCCAAAGUCAACGACAAGCAAUGAUGGUGAUGGCGAUCCUAGUUAAUAAAAAGGGGGCAGAUGUGGGUGGCAAGCCAAUCAGGUGCCAAGGCAAGAGACCGAGGGCACGAGCUGUUCCAAUAUAAUAAAAUAUAUAAAACAACAAGAGUUAUACUAGAUCUAGAUCAUAGACAUGAUUAUACAUGAAUAUCAUUAAUCAUUAGUUUGUAGCAAUUACGCUUUAUUCCAAUAUUAUAAUAAUCCUCGCUCUACAAUCAUAACCUAGGAAAAGCCAGGCCAUACAGAGAUAGGAGCUGAGGAGACAUGGUGAGAAGUGACCAGAAGACAAGAGUGUGAGCCCUCUGUCAAGUCCAGACAGGGCCACUAGAGGGCUCCUUGGUCUAGCGGUAACGCCAGCAUCUGGGAAGACGCCUGUUGCCAAGUGGACCAUGGUCUAGUGGUAGCGUCAGUGCCAAGGAAAAACACCCGCUACUUAGCAGACCAGGAAAGGGAGUCUCCCUUUCCCUGGGGGAGUUUAGAGAAGACUCUACUUCUCCACCUCUUGAGGAGGGCCUGACAUCAGUCAGGCCCACCCACAGUUAUCCGGAGGCCUGUCUCCCUGUGAUGCUGUGCUUCAGUGGUCAUGCUCCUAGUCUGCUGUCAUGUUCCAUCCUGUGCACCUGGCUCUGCCUUUUAGAUAGCAGUAGCAAAAUUGGUUAAAGUACUAAAAGUCUCUGAUAUGCAGAAAUAAUGGUGUAAGCUGUCUCCUCUCUCCGCCUCAGCUGCCAAACAGGGAAGGGCCCCCUGUCCAGUGGACACGUGACCCACGUGACCUUACCUAUCAUUGGAGAUGGCUCACACUCCUUACCCUACCCCUAUGUCUUGUAUCCAAUAAAUAUCAGCACAGCCUGGCAUUUGGGGCCACUACCGGUCUCCAUGUCUUGGUGGUAGUGGUGCCCUGGGCCCAGCUGCCUUUUCUUUUAUC